rnacentral:tRNA from 1 species
AUUCUCUUAGUUCAACGGUAGAACAUCAUUCUUCUAAAAUGAAUAUCUUGGUUCAAUUCCAAGAGAGGAUU